AGUGUAAAUUGAUUUUAUUUAUUUAAUUUGUUUUUGGUGAGUGAUUAACGUAUUGUAUUCUCAUUAAAUCACCAAAUCUGCUCAGCCAUGUUUCACUCUGCAAUUCACCACAUUGUGAACCAAUCACUUUACAUGCAUCUCCAAUCCACCACAUUUUGAACCAAUCACCUUACAUGCAUUUUUCUCUCAUGGAAUAAAUCUGCCAAAACUCAAGAUUUGAUCAUUCACAGCAAAUACUAUUAUCAUCACCUUCUCUUCCCUCUCCAAAAAUCCAUUCAAAUCACAAGUAUCCCUUCAAGAAAGUUCUGUUCCAGAAAUCAAAAAUCUGAUACUCCAUACAUCACAAAGACAAAGAACACAGUCUGUCCACUUGUUAGAAGGUUUUAGCACUGGUUUUACAAGAAGAGAAUUGUGCAAAUUUUAUCUACAGGCUUGUCCUAUCAAGGUUGAGCGGCAGGUGGUGUCGUGCGAGGCUGAGGGAGGAUGUUGCUGUAGUUUCGUAUAAUAUUUUCCGCUGCCAUAAUAUUCACUUAGGUGGAUAUCUUUUGAGAAUGACUCUUUAAAUAUUCUUAGCCUAAUUUUAUGAACUCUUUUGGCAAUCGCAUUACUAGCAAUUGAACCUCGCUUAUAUGUACGUCUAGUAUGAAGUGAUAUCUUGUUGUCUCAGACCUCCGAACUUUUGAUCCUGGUUGGGAAAAUUUCUAUCCUAAUUGUUGUACUUAUUAUCCUUCAAUUGUGGCACUCCUUUAUUAACAAUGUAUUACCCGAGUCUAAGAACAUAUCAACCAUUUUAUUCUAACAAAGUCUAGCAAUCCCAUUAA